AUUGAACGCUGGCGGCAGGCUUAACACAUGCAAGUCGAGCGGGGAAGGGUAGCUUGCUACCUGACCUAGCGGCGGACGGGUGAGUAAUGCUUAGGAAUCUGCCUAUUAGUGGGGGACAACAUUCCGAAAGGAAUGCUAAUACCGCAUACGCCCUACGGGGGAAAGCAGGGGAUCUUCGGACCUUGCGCUAAUAGAUGAGCCUAAGUCAGAUUAGCUAGUUGGGGGGGUAAAGGCCUACCAAGGCGACGAUCUGUUGCGGGUCUGAGAGGAUGAUCAGACACACUGGGACUGAGAGACGGCCCAGACUCCUACGGGAGGAAGCAGUGGGGAAUAUUGGACAAUGGGCGAAAGCCUGAUCCAGCCAUGCCGCGUGUGUGAAGAAGGCCUUUUGGUUGUAAAGCACUUUAAGCGAGGAGGAGGCUACUUGGAUUAAUACUCUAGGAUAGUGGACGUUACUCGCAGAAUAAGCACCGGCUAACUCUGUGCCAGCCGCCGCCGUAAUAC
rnacentral:rRNA from 1 species